rnacentral:lncRNA from 1 species
AGCGUGAGACUAAAUAUUUGUAAGUAGUUUAAUCAAUAAUGAAUAAUACGAUAAACUUAACAAAUCUUAUUAGAAUAGACUUUGAUAUUAUAUUUAGAUAAUAAAUUUUAAACUUAAUUCAACUCUCAAAAUUAACUUAUACAACGAAUCUCUCAAAAGUGACUUAAUACAUUAUGUUUGUACCAAUUUAUACAUUACAGUUUAGGUAUAUCUAUAAUUGAUAUGAUAUCUAUGUUGAUAUGAGAUGUAUAUUGUUAAUUCUUCGUGUUGAGAAGUAAUAUAUGUCUUAUUUAUUGGUAUUUUCCAUAUUUGCAUGAAGUUCUUCCUCUUGACAGCUAAUAUCUCUUCAUUAUUGGUAUUUUUCAUAUUUGCAUGGAGGGUGGCAAAAAAGCUUAGUCACGUACAUCAUCGGGUAAUAUAUUGAUUGUGUACAGCAUGGAUCAAUCCUUGAAAGGUAAUUUUUUAAUUUAUUGCAAGAGAUUUACCAUAAAAGAGGCUGCAUUCAUUACAACUUCUUUCUCUCAUUAUUUUCUAUUUAUGGAGGCCAUAGUAUCCACUUUCUUGGAUUUCAUAGUUCUGAUGUUUGUGAUUGUGAUGCAAGAUUAUGCAUUUUGAUAGUCCCACACCGGAGCAACGGUGGCUGGUGCUGUUUAUACUUUCUAUAAAACUAUGUUCCCAGAUGGAACGGUGAUGUAGAAAUACGUGAAGAGCUUUUGGUUGAAGAAACAAUUCAAGUAUGAGAUCUUGGUAUGAUAUGUAAAUACAUCUUUUCACUCUUUCUAUCUAAGCACCAUAUUCAUUAGUAUGCCUCAUGAUGACUAUUAAUUAAUUAAUUAAUAAUUACUCACAGUUACAACAAAUUCAAAUACAUUCCUUUUAUAAUAAUUUAAUGUUCCUAGCAAAUCUUUCUUGUCAAGUUCAUGUGCUGGAUUUUAUUCCUUUUAAGACUUUUGCUCAUGUUUUCAUUUAUAAAAAAACUUAAAAUAUCGAAUUCUUCGAAUUUGUCUGUCUAAAAUAACACAUUAUAGUUUUUCCCCUUUGUAUUUAUUAGAUUCAAUUCGAUUAUUAGAGUCUUCAUCCAUGAAAACCAAAUAAUAAAUUAUAGUUUUCAUCAUUAUUAUUUUCUCUAAACUAAAUUAUAAACUCAUGUUUUCAUUGCAUAUAAAAAUGACACUCCACUAAUAAUAUACAGUCCAAUUCUAAAAUAUUUGCACACUCUACUUUAAUUUCUAUAAUGUUUGUUUUAUUUCAUUUUCCACGAAAAAAUAAUGCAACAAACAAUUAGAAAGGCUGAAAAUAUUGUCAAAUAUUUACGAGAGCGUAUAUUAUGAAAAUCUAAACUAAAAAAAUUGAAUAAUUUGUUACUUAGGGUUUGAUCUAUAGCAAAUUCUUAACUAUUUUUAUAAUUUUUAAGUAGAUUCAUAAACUAAAAAAUAUACAAUUAGAUAAUUGUUUUUUAGCUUUUUUAUAGAUUUUGUAUUUUUUUUUGUAGCAAAUUGGAAGUUUUUAAAUUUAUAGAUUCAUAUUUUUGGUUUAUAGGAACAUGAAAGUAUCAUAAAAUAUCAAUUUACAGCGUAUUAUUUUAAUUUAGAGUGUGAAAUAAAAUUAGGAAAUAAUUGAAGCAAUGCAUAAAUUGAAUAAAAUGGAGAUAUUUUGAGUUAAAUAAAAGAAAAUUGGAGCUGUGAAGAGAAAAAGGGUUGUUUUUGUUUAGGGCAGAGGAGAGAGAAGAGAAGGGAGAGGAGAUGGAGGACAUUGAAGAUUUGCUGGUCGGAAGCGGAAGCGCAACUGCGCCGGGCUUCCGUUUGCCAAUGGCGGCAGCUGUUGGUGUUGGCGUUGGGAGCAAGCGGAAUAAACUCUCCUCUUCGCCUUCUCCGGCAAUCCCCGGCACUCAGGUAGGUCUGAUCAUUCUCCUCAUUCUUCCGCUUUCUCUUUAUUUUCUUAUUCUUUGUUUGUUUUGGUGUUGUUCUCGCAGACUAUCUACAUAAAGACCUUUGGCUGCUCUCACAACCAGGCAAGUGUUGUGUUGUGCAUUGUGUGUUACGCAUUAUAUGCUAUGAAUUGAUUAAUUGGUGCAUAAUUGUUUGAUUUAACAGAGUGACAGUGAAUAUAUGGCUGGCCAGCUUUCGGCUUUUGGCUAUUCGUUGAGUGACAAUCCAGAGCAAGCAGAUCUCUGGCUCAUUAACACGUCAGUUAUCCUAUUCCUGCUUCAUUUUCAUACGCUUUCACAUUAACAUCAUCCUUAUAUUCACGUUAAGUAAUUGCUGCUCCAGUUGCACAGUGAAAUCCCCCAGUCAAUCUGCCAUGGAUACCAUCAUAACAAAAGGAAAAUCUUCUAAUAAACCGCUAGUUGUUGCUGGCUGUGUCCCUCAAGGAAGUCGGUAUUUGAAAGAGCUGGAAGGGAUCAGCAUAGUUGGAGUCCAGCAAAUUGAUCGUGUUGUUGAAAUUGUAGAGGAGACUUUAAAAGGUCACGAAGUGCGCCUUUUGACCCGUAAGACAUUGCCAGCACUUGACCUUCCAAAGGUUUGAAUUUCUACCCAAUUAUCGUCUCUUGAAUCUUAUGUUUUAUGCUUUGUAUAGUUAGUGCAUAUUAGCUUGAUUUUUGCAAAUUAUACUGCUGUAUCAGGUAAGGAAGAACAAGUUUGUUGAGAUUCUUCCUAUUAAUGUUGGUUGUUUAGGUGCCUGCACUUAUUGCAAGACAAAGCAUGCUCGGGGUCACCUAGGAAGUUACACAAUCGAUAGCCUUGUAAGUACUAUGACAGUGAAUUAUAAUGUGUGUUUGUGUUCCUUUUAAUUUUCAGUUUGCUUAUAUGUGUGUGUAAGUAUGUACGUAUUAAUUUGGAAGCGGUGCAGGUUGGGCGUGUAAAAUCUGUCAUUUCUGAUGGAGUUAAAGAGAUAUGGCUUAGUAGUGAGGACACUGGAGCAUACGGUAAUUUUGAUUGUUGGCCAGAGUCCUUCAAUAUCUUUCACUAAUUUAAGAUAUUUGCAGCCUUGAUCUUAACGAAAUUUCAUAUUAACUUGAAUUGACAGCUAAUCAAUUCAGGUUACUCAAAAUGUUGUUGAAAUUGAGAGUGGGUUUUAUAUCAAUGAUAUCUUGGGUCACGAUGUUGUUUUUACAGGUCGUGACAUUGGUGUCAAUCUUCCAACUUUGUUGAAAGCCUUAGUGGCAGAACUACCUGCUGAUGCAAGCACAAUGCUACGUAUUGGAAUGACCAAUCCACCUUAUAUCCUUGAACACUUGAAAGAGAUAGCCGAGAUUUUGCGGCACCCAUGUGUAUACUCUUUUCUCCAUGUACCAGUUCAGUCUGGAAGUGAUACUGUCUUGAGUGUAAGUCAUAAAAAAUACUGAUGAGGUUGUAUACUAUAGUAUGCGCUAGAUAAUAUACUAACUAUUGUGAAUUUAUCAGGCAAUGAAUAGGGAAUAUACUGUGAGUGAGUUCAGGACUGUUGUAGAUACUCUAACUGAGCUUGUGCCAGAGAUGCAGAUUGCCACUGAUAUAAUAUGUGGAUUUCCGGGUUAGUGGAUGAUCUUUGUUUUGUGUCCUGUAACAUACUGUUUCCUGAUAUGAAUAGUUUUAUGUGCAAUAAACGUACAGUGAAAAAUAAUUAUUGUAAUUAUGAAUAAUUUUGUAUAGAAACUUGUCAAGCAGGAGUCUAAGCUUGAGGUUCUUAUUAACUUUAAUAAUAAAUGACAUGUUAAAUAGAUAUUACAAUUGGGUUGGGAUGCAUUUGUAAACUGGAAGUGUGAAAAUUGCAUAUGAUUGGAAUGGUUUGGAAUUUAGAUAGAUAAUCUGGAAUGAGUUUAAGAAGAAAAUCAGUGCAUUGAUCUUGGUAAGACUUAUUUCUUUGGCAUUUUCAGGUGAAACUGAUGAAGAUUUUGUGCAGACUGUCAAUCUUGUUAAAGAUUAUAAGUUCUCUCAAGUUCACAUUUCACAAUUUUAUCCUCGACCAGGUUUGUGAACUGACGACUAUCUAUUGAAUGCAACUAUCAUAACUUCAUUUUAAGGAUGAAAUCAAAAUAGGUACCUAGUCUGUAGUACAGUGUAGAAGUUAGGUUAUGAUAUCUUGGAUCCAGAGGGUGCUGUGUGUGGUUUUUUUCCCCAUUCUUUUAGUGCGUUGUGCUUUUCUGACCCUCCCAAACCACACCAAGCUUGUGAGAGCCUUCUCCACCAAACCACCCUUUUUAUGAUAUUUCUUUUGCUUAUGCUAAAACUAAUCCUAGAUUGUAAUGGAAUGAUUCUCUCGAUCAAAUAGUGUUCCGAAUAAUAAUAGUCAUAAUAGAUGCAUUAAGCAGAGAAGUUCUCUGUUCUUCUGUAUUUCAUUUUACCCGUGUUGUAGGUGUUAUUGUAUGCUACUUACUCAGUAUAAAGGUCCAUACAGUGUCUUUCUAAAUGGUUACUGAGAGGUGCUUGUGUGAGCUAUUGUUUUAUCAGUAACACCUUUUUUUGAUUGUCAUGAGAAAACAAAGAAGAGUUGUUAAUUUGUGUUCGUCAAUGAUACACGAUGUGCGUAUUUGUAUUUUUUCUUCCUGUAUAUCUAUCUUAGGCGAUGUUGCUUAACUGCUUUUCUUUUAGCUUGUUGUACAUUUGCACAAACAAAUAUAUUUUCUUUUACUCGAGUAGAAUAUGGCAACUUUAGGCAAUAUAUGCUGUGUGGAUUUAGGGUUAAAGAAAAAACUAUUGUAGUACUGGGUUGGGGGUGGGAAUGGAGCUGUUGGGGAAUUUUCAUUCACCAGGUUUAAAUUUUGGUACUUGGAAAAUUAGACCAUCUAUAUUACCAUCAAAGUUCUGAUAGCAUUUAUAUAAGAUGCAUAUAAUUUUCCCCCCUCCUGAGACAAAUAAUAGUAAUAUUACUAUAAAAUGGUAGGGACACCUGCUGCAAGGAUGAAAAAGGUUCCAAGUAAAGUGGUUAAGGGAAGAAGCCGAGAGCUGACAAAUGUCUUUGAAUCCUUCACACCAUACUCUGGGAUGGAAGGCAAAGUGGAAAGAAUUUGGAUUACUGACGUUGCAUCUGAUGGAAUUCACUUGGUAAGGCAGUGUAGUCGAUCUUGAAUGUUGAUUGCUUUUGUUGCUUUUAUUUAAAUGUAUUUCAUUUAAGUAUGUCAUUUGUUGCAUUCAAUUCAUUUGCAGUUGUGGCUGUAAGCCUGUAACUUUGAUUUCUGGUAUCUCAACACUGAAUAUUUUUAUUGCUAUGACCUGCUAAAGUUCCAAAGAAAGAAAUUCAGGGCUAAGCGAGAUAUGAGGCUUUCCUGAUCUGUCUUUCUUUUGCUCAUUCCAUUUAUCAAGAACGGAGGGAGCUAAUAACAUGUCAACAACCUUUCUAACAUACUUUCUCCUAUUGGUUAAAAUUUAUCAGAACAAUAAAAUCAUGUCUAGAGCUCAUUAAAUAAGUAGAAUCUAAAAAAUUUGUAAUUUCAAAUAAAUCUUAGUCAAUCAUAAAGAGUGUAUUCAAAAUAGUGUUAGAGGACGUGUUUUUAUUAUUUUUCAUCAUGAUUAAUAUUGAACAGCAGGUUUUUUGUUUAUAAACUUUAACUGUCUUGGUAGUCAUCAUGCAGUGUGUUUCAAAUUGCAAUACUUGAGACUUUGUUUGUUUAGCUGCAAAAAGAUCUUGCUUUCUGUCCACGGACUUCAAAAAUCUGUAGUACAUGAGGGGUGUUGCAAGAGGUCUACUUCCAUAGCUUAAACAUAGGUUUAUGGCCUCUUGUACAAUCAUGAAAGAGAAUGGGAUUGGACGAAGAAAUAUCUUGUUUCUUAUUUUAUUCCUAAUUUUUGUUCUCGCCUGCACGCUUUGCGAAUGAUAAAAUUUGAAUUCCUGUGAAGCACCCCUUUGAACUUGAGACUUUAAUUUAUUGCGUAUUUGUUUGUGUUAUAUAUCAUCUAAUCAUUUUAUUUGUCAAUGUCGAAGGUUGGUCAUACGAAAGGAUAUAUACAAGUUCUUGUACUUGCUCCCGACCAUAUGCUUGGAGCUUCAGCUAUGGCUAAGAUAACAUCUGUGGGAAGGUGGUCUGUCUUUGGGGAAGUAAUUGAGACAGUCAACCAUGCAAGUGACAAUAAAGCUCUAAACAAGUUGGUUCCUGACCGGGACUUGCAUUCUCUCUGCGUUAACCCAGCCAAGGCUGGUGGAUUCUCAGAAGAGCCAGAAUCUUGUGCCUGUGGAAGUGACGUCUGUUGCAGUAUCGACAAGAGUGAUGUUUCAAGAGGCACUGCAGUGCCACAGAACCAAAGCAAUAGAAAUUUCUUUGAAUGGAUGCUAAGGAAGCGGGAGCAUCUGCACAAAAAGGUUGAGAGCGAGCUUGCCUCGGGAUCUGUUAAAAAGCAGGAAGGAAAGAUGAAGAAGUGGGACUUCGUUGAUAAGGUUCUUUUGGGUGGAAUGUCUAUCAGUAUCUUUACUAUAAUUGCUCUAGUAGCAGCUCUUGCGUUCAGAGUGAUUUGGUCCCAGUAAAAGGGCCGUUAACAGUUUUUAUUUAUUUUUUCUGAAUCAAACUGUUAUUCCCGAUUUUGACCUGUACAAGUUGUAUCAAGUGUUUUCGCAAACAUCCACAAAUUUUCGCCCCUCAAUAUCUUGUUUUAGGAUUUACGGCAGUUGUAUUGAUAUGAUGCGAUUCAUAGAAAAUCAUUUUGGGGCUUGAUUUGAGAGAGAACUAGCUUGUUUUAGCUUAUCGAGACUGUACCAUUAUUUUACAUGGUUAAAAAUGAUAGAAAGUUGAGCAUUUCAUAAUUUCAUAAAGCUGUUACGGGCAUGAAGAAAUAUUUAUUUUUCGUAGCCGAAACUGAAGCUUUGGGAUGUACAUAUACUUUCAUACAACGAAAGUGUGUUUUUGCUACUGAAAUUGGAGGGGGACUAUGCACAUCUUUGCCCUACCCUCUCUUUAAUUUACGUACGUGUAAUGGUGUAGCUCUGUUUAUUAACACAUACAUCAUUAUUUGUCCACAAUAAUUUGAUAAAAUGAGAAAAGGCAAAACGUGUCAUCAUAUAAGCGUGUCUGAUCUGGAAGGCAAUCUCUUGAAGAAAUUAACUGGUACUGAUGGCAUCUUGCUCCUAAAUCGAGGAUGACGUAGCAUAUACAGGCCUACGAGAAUUGCCACUACUUGGAAGGGAGUGAUGUAAAUGAAUACAGCCCAUAUGAGCGAGAAGAUGAUGAAGAUAGAUGUUGCCCUGGAGUCUCUCCAAUUUAGUAUGGCUUGAGCUCUUUCUCCCUGAGUAGCCAAAUCUCCAACCACAGUCUGCACUCUACCUGCCACACUCCGCAAUCUGUCAUACCUCAUUCUCACAAUAUCUGAAGGUUUUGUGGAUGGAAAAGUGUCAAAUUCCUCGUCCAGUUCAUCUGGGUGGGCAUUUUCUGCCUGAGACAACCUGGCAUCCAUAUGGGGUGGUUUCCUUGGCCUGAACCGGUAAUUCCAAAUUCCAAUUACAAACAAGUAAAGGAAAAUGGUGGGCAAUAUCAGUUCCGGGUAGCAAACCAGUAUCAAGAACAGGACGUGAACAAGGCAAGUUGUGAUUGGGUUUCUCCAGGUGCAGAUGUCAUCAAACCAUUUGCAAACAGCUGUAACUCCUUUGAGGAUUAACAUUAUGCGAUGAAAAUUGGCUUUGCUUCUCCUUAGACUCCACAUAUGGUAAUCAACGUCGAGCAUAUACUCAACUGUUUCACGCCUGAGGGGUGGCUCAGCUCUAGAUAGGCGUGCUGCCACAAUCUGCAUGGCCUGGUGGCGGAGCCAGUCUAUGUGCCUAACAGGUAUGGGUUGGACAUAAUGCAUUUUGGGAAGCAAAGGCCUGCCAUACUGGGCUACCAUAUUCACCCAAGCCGUGCAUGUGAAUCUCACGGCCAAGUGAAGCUCUCCGUUCUUCUUCAGGCCAUUGGGUUGGAGGACCAGCAGAGGAUAAAAAUGAGUAUACACCCUAUCAGUUUCCAGAGUUGAUAACCGGAUUCUUACCUUUCCAAUUCUCUGAUCCCUUGCAUCACUGCUCCCAUUGAUGUGAUGGUUGUCAAAAACCCCAAUUGUGAUGACAGUGCAUGGAUCAUAAACUUCCCACGUAUAUUGCUCAUUCCAUCGAGGGGUGAGUGUGUCAAGCAGAGUUCUGGUUCGAACCCACUUGUUGCCAUACUUGGCCACGCAGUAAGCAUCGGUGCUCCUACCUUCCCUGCCCUUCAGGGGCACCAAAUUGCGGGCACUCAGUAUCCCGAGUUCGAGGAUGCCAAUGUUUUUCUUCCUCAAAUGUUUGGAGGAUGGCUGAAGAUCACUGCUGAAAUGCGUGGACUCAUCCAGCACAUGGUACCCGGCCUCCAGACACAUUCGGAGGUGAAUCUUGCUCGAGAAUUUCUCCUUCUUUUUCUCCGUUUCUUCCUCACCGACAGCACUGGGCCUGUGCAAAUUGAACCAACGAGAAUCAGGGAGCUUGCUGGUCUCGUGUCUGGGUGGAAUACUUCUAACUGAUAUGAUCUCCCUUCCCAAGAUUUCAGCACUAGGACCCACUUUGUCCUCCACAGUCACAAUGAUGAAAUCCUCAAAUGGCUCGGCAGCCACAAACAUAAGCUCGUCGUUCCAAACUGGGUUGGUGCUUCUCAAUUGAGAAGGGCGGGUGAAUCUCAUCUGGUUCCCGAGCUGUACUCUAACAACAGCGUCCGGGGCUCUUCCUUUGUCGGAAGGAACAAGAUCCUGAGCUUCGAUGACUUGAAUUCUAAGAUAGAAAAGCUUGGGUGAGAAAUAUACCUUUGAGCGAGUGUUUGCAAGGUUGGAGUGGCCGACGUUGUGAGCGUCAGAGUGCCAGGCCUCCGGGAAGGACUCGUCGGCCUGUGUUCCCAUCCAAACAGCAAGCAUGAUUUCGCCAUUGUUGUAAACUUUUUGGCCCUUCUUGUCCUCCAAUCUGUACCACUGAGGAGCCAAGGGGCUGUCUGGGGGCACCCGAAGAGGAAUCUCAGUCAGAUCAAACAGAGCUCUUCCAACAAAAUCAUCUUUGCCAAUGUCCUUGUCCUUCACCGUCACUUCAAGCAAAUUUGAUUGCAACCUCUCCUUCGAGAAGGCAAAGAUUGUCUUCCAAACGGGGUUCUGAUUCUUGUCCAGGUGCUUGGUGAGGCCCUUGUAAUUACCCACCUUGACUUCCACAUAAGGGUCAAGGCUUCCCGAGAUAUCCAUCACGGGGAGAUCCCUUGCCUUCACCACAUUAACGUACAAGUAAUGCAUCUGUUCCACCAAGUCGUAGGUGGUUGAUAUCUUGUCCCCUACUUUGUACCGCAACCGAGCCGCCAGAGGAGGACUUGUCUCUUCCAGUCCAUAAUCUGGGUUUUGCUUUGGGAUUUGCAUCAACAUCACAUUCGGUGGUCCAGCCUUUGCGAAGUCAGCCCUCCUCACCGUUUCCACUGCCGCCGCCUGGAACUGGGGCUGGGCCUUCGGUGCAGCAGCUGCAGCUGGUAUAGAGUGAAAAGUCCUCACUUCCUUUUCUUUCUUUUUCAUUUUCUUCUUCUUCUUCUCCUCCCCUUCACCAACCACGCUUUCCUCGUCUGCCACCAUGUUGGGGUUUAUUUCUUGCAGGGGAGUGUACUGAUCCUCCUCCGGGGGAGGGGGAGGGCGAUGUUGUUCAGCAGCAGCAGGAUCAGCACUGCCGUCCUGGGGUUGCGGGGGAGGAAGAGGAUCAUGCAGCGCAUAACACUUGAGAGCAAUAUCUCCCCUGAUGUUUGAAAAGAGGCCACGUUUCUCAAGUGGGUAGCGUUCCACACGGGCCUGGGACUCCGAUAGAGGGAUGGAAGCACCUGAAAGCCUCACCCUUCCAAGGAAGUUGUUGUGGUUCCGAUCAUUGUGAUUGUACACAACCACUUCAAUUGUCUUGUGCGCAAGAUCUCUCGGGUCAUCGAUGUGGAACACCAGCUUCUGGUUCCAAUAAGGAUUCAGCUCCUUGUGCUUUUUCUCAGUACUGUGCUGCUGCUCAUCAAACUUCACCUCUACAAAGGGGUUGGCUGACCCUUCCCCGUCUUUGGGCAUGAGGUCGCUUGCAUCCACAACCUCCACCACCAGCUUGUUCAUGGUGCGGUUAUGGUCCAAUUCAAUUAUGAUCCGGGUGAGAGCGGUGAUGAUGAGGUGAUGAGAUAUGCAUAUGCUCUGCUGAUUUGGAGUAUUUGGAGUGUGAAGACAGAAAGAUUUGUUAGAAAGAGAAAGAAAUGGGAUAUGUGUUGUACAUGCUAUUGCUAAUGCUAUUGCCACUGCUAUUGAUGUUUGGUGUGGUGGCCCCUUCUUUUCAUGUGCCUUUUCUUUGGGGGAGAUAUUCUACUGGCUCCCCUACUUUCUAUGUCCAAAACAGAAUAUUAAGAACAUCCUAAUCUCCCAAAAACAUGCACAGCUACUGAGGAGGUGUGGAUUUGAAUAAAUAAAUGAAUAUUAAUAAGAGGGUUGUCGUUGGUUUUGGAUUAUUAAUGAAGGAGGUGUGGUUGAAGAUGGAGAUAAAGUUUGGGUGGAUGGUUUUAAAAUAAUAAUGGUGGUGGGGCACACGGAAGCUACCAAAACAUUGAAGCACUGCAAUGUUUGAUAAAUAAUUUGAAAGCAGAAAAAGUAGAAAUCUCGCUUUCAAAGGAGUUGAUAAAGUUAAUGGCGGUUUAGUAUAUACUGGAGGCUACGUUUGGUUUGAGAGAUUAAAAGAGGUGAAAAGAAAAGGAUUAAAGUCUGAAGGUUCAAAGUGGAAUAUGCAAAUGGAUGGUCCCAAACCAACUUUUCUAUUUCCCACUUCCAAACCUGCAUCUCAGUUUCGCAUUCACUUCGUUUUCUCUUUUUCAUUUCAUUUUUCUUUUAUUUUUAUAGAUCUAAAUUAAAAUGCUUACUUUUAAAUUUUGUUAAUAUUUUGUUCAAAACGUGAACAAUUAACCAUUAUUAUAUACCACGUCAAUACGUAACCAGUUAACUAUUAUUAUGUAAUAUAGGUUGAAAACAGUAUAUAAUGAUAAAACUGGAUCGUAUAGUAGAAUGAUAUAAUGUCAUGUUAAAUUAGUUUCAAUGUCUCAAAUUAUUUUCAAAAUUUCAUUUUGAACAUUAAACGAUGAAAGGAUUUUCUAGAUAGAAUUCUAUGACUAGACGUUGCAGUAUAGGUAUUAGACGCUCUUUGUAGCUAUACAUGUAUAGGUAGAUACUCUUUGCAAAUUAUGCAGUUAUAUAAAUAUAAAAAUAAGUUCUACUUUGAUCGAAUAUUUUAAUUAAGUAUUAAAUUUAAAAAAUUAUAACUUUCUAUUUUGGGUAUUAGACAUUCAAAUUUCAUUGUAAAGUGUAUAUAAGAUAUCUCAAUUCUUCUUCAAAUUUAGGUGUUUAAAAAUAAUUAGAGAUAUUCAUAAUAUGUUAAGAAGACAAUUAUUUUUGGGAAUCCCUCAUUCAUUAAUUAGAGAUCAUGUUCAAUGAAUCUUGGUAAAUGAUUCAAUGAAUAUAUUUAAUAAUGGUAAUUUCAAAGUCUUGGAAUUAUACCUUAACUCUUGAAGACUAUGAAGUUCAACCUAGAAAAUUGAAGAUAGUUUUUUCAAGGUAUAUUGAAAAUGUGACAAACAUUAAUCAUUCAUUAUUUCUUAAGAAUUAUUUCUUUUCUAUGUAUAAAGGAACUUGUGAGGAAGUGAAAGUCAAGCAAGGGAGAAGAGUAACAUAUAGAGUAAAUGAGAGAAUUGAUAUUCACUCAUCAUGUGAGACUAGAAAUCCUAGUAAGAGGCUAGAAAAAUAUUGUAUUCCAUCCUAGUUAGAUGAGAUUAAGUGUUAUCUUCAUAGAGUAAGAGAAACGAAUAUUGUACUCAUAUUUUCAUAGUGAAGACAUUUUCUGGACUAGGUCUCGUGAAUUUUUACUUCUCAAGUUGAGGAGGUUUCCAUUGUUAAAAAUUUUUGGUAUCAUUAUUCUAUUUUAUUUUGUCUGCUUAUUGUUUCUGCAAGUGCCUAUUUUGUACCUACACAAAAGUGGAAGAAUUAGUUAUGAUUUACCAACAAUUACAAAAUCUAACUUGAACAAAUCUUCUAAAGAUUGAAUGAUUUUCAAAACUACACCAAAGACAGGGGCAAACAAAGUAUGUUUGAACUUCAGUUUCUUUCAAUCAUCCACUAUUAUUAAAUCUUAUUUCUCGUAGUUCAGGUUUAGUGAACAAUACAUUAGACGAUUAUUUAUUUAGAUGCUUACUGUAGAACCCAAUGAUUUUAAUCAGACACCUACUAGAACUCCAGAAAACACUGAUUUUUAAUUAAAUGGUGAUUGAUUUCAUAUUUGAAUUACCUUUUUCUAUUUUAAGAAUCUCUUAAAUAACUAUUGAAUAUGAAAUUUAUAGAUUUCUAUAAUAGACACUCAAAAUCUCUUCUUUCAAACAUGAUUUCGAAACUUUAAGAUCUUCAAAAUUUCCAGAUUAAGAUGUUUAAAAAUUUAGAAUGGUUUUAUAAUACAAAAAAUUGUCUUAAAGUAAAAAGAAGCGUCUAAUGGUACUAUUCAUAAUGCGUAUAAUGAUAAAAGGAUGUCACAGUCGACAACGAUAAAGAGAAAAUGUAGUGAAAAAUUGUAUUACCAUAGUUGUAAAUUAUGGUUAAGUGUAUUUGAUAAUUGGUUAAAUAAAUAUUAUACUUUAAAAUUUAAAUAUGUUCAACUAAGAAUGUUAUACAUCGCUUACAAAUGGCUUAUGAACAAAUAAGAGCAAUUUCAGUUGUUCAUCAGGUUGUAUUGGGUGGAAAAAAAAUUGGUUAACAUAGUUGUAAAAUAUAAUUAAUUUUGUUUGUAAAAUUUUGUUUGAGAGUUAGUUAAAUAAGUAUUUAAAUUUAAAAUGCAUGGGCUACUGCAUUAGAUUUGGGUGGAAAUGUUUUGGUUAACAUAGUAGUCAAAAAACACUUAACUCAUUUGGGAACUUGGAUCAAUAUGCAUUUUAUUGUGAAAAUCAUGGUGAUUUAUCUAAGAAUGAUAAUAACCACUUGGUGAAUGUUUUCUAGAGUUAAUGGUUCAAUUUUUUAUUCAUUGAGAUUUUGUGUGAGAAAAAAUUAUUGAAUAUAUGAUUGUGCAUGUCUGAGAGAAAUUGGGUUAACACAGUUGUAGAAUGUGGUUAACUGUGUUUGAAAAUUGGUAAAAUAACUUUUGUAAUUUCAAAUUCAUAGAUGUUGGCUUGAAAAAGGACAUGGUGGUGAAUACGUUAAAAAUGAUAAUAAGGUCUUUUGAAGUCAAUGGUGCAAUAGUUAUUGAUCCUUGGGACUUUAGGUGACAUACUUGUAUAAAUUAGUGUGUUACAUUUGGAUGAAAAAACUGAUAGUUAGCAUAAUUAUGAAAUGUGACUAACUCGGUUAGAAUUUGGUUAAAUGGAUAACAUAAUUUGAAAAACAUGGUAAUUGACCUAAAAAUGACAAUGAACAUUGGGUGAAUAGUAUACAAAGUCAAUGCUUCAAGUUUUAGUGUAAUUUAUGACUUUGAGUGAGAGAAUUUUAUUUAUGACAUUCUUAAGUUGUAAAAAAUUGGUUAACAUAGUUAUGAAAUGUGGUUAUCCAUGAUGAGAAAUUGGUUAAAUAGGCAUUGUAGUUUGAUAACCACACAUGUUCACCUAAAAAUGAGAUAAAAGUAUUAGACAUAAGUUUUUGUAGUAAGUUUAGGGACAUAGGGUCAAAGAAUGUUGGUAAAGAUAACAUCACUUGAAAAAAAAAUUAGGUUGAGAUAAAUCUAAAAUGUGGUUAAUUAUUGGUUAAAACGGUAUUUUAAUUUAAGAAUCAUGGUAACUAACCUAAGAAUACCAAUAAAUUGUUAUGGAGUCAAUUGUUCAAUACUUGUUGAUACAUGAAACUUUAAGUCGCAUGAUUUAAUUAAUUAUUGUCAUAUGAGAAAGUGUAGGUUAACAUAGUUUAAGAUGUAGUUAAAUUCAUUAAAAAUGUUGUUAAAUGGGUAUUUGAAUUUAAAAAUCAUGGUAAUUAAUCUAAAAAUUACAAUUAUCGAUGAGUGAAUGUCAUAUAAAGUAAAGACAAUGCUUCAAUUAUUAUUUUUUAAGAGUUUGGACGAGAGAAUUUAAUCAUUAUCUUGCAUUUGGGUUAAAAAAAAUGGUUUAACAUAGUUAUAAAAUGUGGUUAACUAUCUUUAACAAUUGAUUAAAUAGAGAAUGUUAUUUGAAAAUAGUAGAGAAUCUCUUUCUUGGUUCCAAAAGAUUAAAAUCCCUAAACCCUAAUGAAAAGAUGAAAAUGUUAGUGUAAAAGAAAAUGAAGUUGAUGAGAAUAGAAUGGAAUGGAAUAGAAUGUCCUUGGAUGGCGACACGAAGGAGUGGGUUGGUGGACAAGUGGCGAAGGCAUAGGACAGGUGGCGGCACCUGAUUCAAUUUGAGCAUGCAACGUGGCUUUAACCUUCCACCGAGUCCAAUGCCACUUAAAACGGAACGACCAAUCCCAAAACACACCAACCAACAACAACCUUUGAACAACAACAACAACAAAAAUGAUGAAUGUUUUGGCGGUGACUCUGUUCUUCACUUCACUCGCCGCAUCGGCCAUUUUCUCUCCGCCGCCACCCACCCACCACAAGCAAGGAGCCAACACCAUCGUCAAAGAAGGCCACCGUGUCGUGGUGGUUGAAUACGACCAAGAUGGCCAUCACAACACCAAAAUCUCAAUCUCCCCAGACCAACCCACACAUCAUCACCACCACCAAGUUCCGGAAAACGGCCACGACAGGAUCAGAGAGGCUGCCUCUGUUCUCCCUAACCUCGGUCAAGGCAUUUCGCAGCCUCAAGAUGCGGCUUUUCUGCAUGCCCCCAAGGAGCUCAUUUGCGAUGCUUAUGGAAAAUGCAAGCACAGAGUCGCGGAUGCCAUGGAGAAGACCAAGGAAAAGGCUCAAGAGGUCCUCCAGAAGAAGAAGGAGGUGGCGCGCCAUGUGGGUGAUAAUGUUGCCGAUGCACUCAAAGAAACAAAAGAAAGCGUGCAUGAUAAAGCCCGUGAUGUGCACGAAUACGCGCAGGAUACUGUAGAAACAGCGAAGAAUCAUGUGAAUAGUAACGUCUCAGAGGCCAGGGAUUAUUUGCGCCGCCUCAAACAUACCUUAAAAUUGAGUUUUGGAUCCUUGGAGAGCCUGAAUUCGGUGAUGGGGGUGGCCCAUUUGCUGGGGUUUGCCACUUCUUAUGGGAUGUGUGUGUGGGUUACGUUUAUCUCCAGCUACGUGCAGUCCAGGGCCAUGGCGAGGCAUCAGUUCGCAGUGAUGCAGAGUAAAAUCUACCCUGUUUAUUUCAGGGCCAUGGCUUAUAGCACAGGGGUGGCUCUGUUUGGCCAUGUCUUCGGUAAUACGAACACUCUGCUCUCCAACAAGUCUCACGCAUUGCAAACAUACAAUCUUCUGGCCUCUCUCGCCACUCUUUUCUUCAACUCUCUUUACUUGGAGCCUCGAGCCACCAAGGUACGCUUCCCAUAUCUUCUUCUUCAUUCUUUUAUCUCCACAUCUUUCCAAGUUCUGAUUCACUUCUUUCUUUUCUCCUUGCCAUUCAGUUGAUGUUCGAAAGAAUAAAAAUAGAAAAGGAGGAAGGAAGAGGCAGAGAAGAUGUGACAGUGAGUGGUGAACGUGGCAGAACAGGUGUUAGAGAGCCUCAACGCACACCUGAUGGUACAGGGCCUUCCAUCAGCACAGAUCAUGAUGCAGUGAGAUCAAGAAUAAUCAAGCUCAACGACAAGCUCAAGAAAUUGAAUUCCUAUUCCUCUGUCCUAAACAUCCUCAAUCUCAUCUCUCUCACAUGGCAUCUCGUUUAUUUGGCUCAACGGCUUCACCGCACUUGCUAAGCCAUGCAAAUUACCUUUUGUAGUAAUCCUUGUUUUCUGUCUUGCUUUUUUUUUAUCAUGUGUUCAUAUUUGCAAAUACUCCCGUCUGUAUGUUUCAGGUUUAUGAAUACACUGUUUAGUGUUUAACACUGCUUGCAAUGAAGUAUAUUUACCAAGUGCAUAAUAUCGUCUAUACUUGCAUAAAAUUAAUUAUCUCCAUUUGGGCGUUUCAGUAUUUCCUUUUAAAGACAAAAUUAGCUAUAAUUAUAUGAAAGUAAAUGGCAGCAUCGUCAAUGUUUUCAAAUUAUUAACUCACUGGACAGUUAAAUAAAAUAACUUGAUCACAGUAUUCAUUACAAAUUAAGAAAGUCGUAAAAAAUCAAUUAUUUUUUACAAUAUAAGAAACAUUUACACUGCUAUCUGAUUAAAUUCCUGACCUGACAGACAUAAUUCUUCAGAUAAUUGAACAAAAUUAAGCAUUAUGUAACUGACACAGCAUCUUAAAUACAUCAGACCAUUUUCUUCUUAGACAAAUAACCAAGGAUUCACAAGCUUGUCGUUAAGUUUCUAUAAUUUAAAUGUAGUACUACCUAUGCCACCCCCAAUAAUAUGCCUAUAUGAAUCUUUUAAUUUAUCCAGAGAUAUUAAAAAAUAUAAUUAGCAUCCCUUUAAAGUAUCCAGAGAGUUUAAAAAAUAUAUAAUUAGCAUCCGGAGUGUCUGCUUGAUCACUAAAAAAUCUGAUAAUUUAUAACAUAAAUCGUCAGCCAGCCACUGCAUGUACAAUCAACCUUUACUCUUGAACCAUACAUCUACACCUCCGUUGGUGCUCUGUCAGUUCCUGCAAUGUAUCAAGUGUUUCAGUUCAUGAAAGUUGGUCGAAACCCCAAAACGCCAGACAGAAAUCAAAGUUACAAGAACAAAUGCUGCCACACAAAUAAGAGUACCUCAAUUUGCUUUUGAAGAAACUUGACAUAAGCUACCGCCUCAUGUAACAUAUCUGCAGUGUUUGUUUGCUACAAGAACAAAAGCAACGCCACAUUAAAGAAACAUUAAAAUGAAAAUAAACUCCAACUCUAAUAUUUACAUUUAACACUAGUUGAAAAAGAUAAAUAAAUAAUAAAAGAAAAAAACAACUAAACCAAGUAUAAAAAUGUUUUCUUUGACAAAGAAUUACGGUCGUGCUAGAAAGAAAGAGAUAACGUGGGGUAGAAUGAGUACAUUCCUAAAGCGUCAAAGAAACAGAGAGAAAAGAGCAAGAAGAAAAGAAAUCAAACAGCUUGAGAGAGCAGCCUAAUCACUUCACAGAAUCAUAAAAAAAAUUCCUGUCAACCAUUGGCUUUAACCAAUGAUGUCACCAGGAACAGGACUCCAUCCAGCAAGAGAAAACAGCUGGAAAUGAUGUGAGAAAUUCCAAUAUUAUGCACCAAUAGUUGGCCAAAUAGCAGUGUUCCCUAAAGCUUGUUUGUUAUUUCCUCCCAAAACCUCUAUAUAAUACAGUGAGUAGAGUGAACAACAGGUCCUGAGGUAGCAGGCCAACCCUGAAGCUCCCACAGAAAGUAUGCAGAGCCUAUUCCAAAUAGCCAAGCCACUUCAUAAUCAUACCGGAAAAUACUUUACAUCAGGGGAACAAGUAGUAUGCUGUUUUCGUGACCAUAACAUAUCCUUAGUUUUGAAUCCCAUCAAGUUCUCUAGUCCAAACACGGACCUUAACCUUAGAGGAAGACUUCACUCUUAAAAAAUUGAUGGAGAAAACCAAAUGCAAGCGUGAAGAAUUAUUCUAAGAGCCAGUUAUUUUAUUGGAUUUCUGGGAUGAAAGAAACGAAUCAAAUAAGGCUAUCACAUUUAUGAACUCUGAAUCCCCUGUAUCAUUAAGCUUUCUGCGAAAAUCAAAGUUUUCUAAUAUAGUUAACAAACGAAAAAGCCAACCAUGGAAGGGAAGAGAGAUACUGAGCACAAUGAAGUAGAAAUACAACAAAAUCAAGGGGAGAUAUACGGUAGAAAAGACUUUUCUUGACAUAGGUCCUCACUGUGUUCAGGUGUGAGUUAACUGACUCCAAGUGUCUAGAAGAAUUGGGCGGGAGAGAACUAAUGAAAAAAUGCACAGCAGAAGCUCACAUCUGAGAAUUGAGGUCAAGUUUGUUUAAUUAAAGAAUAUACAUGCAACAAGAUUCUGGCCUCCAUCCAAUUGUUGAUUUAUUCACAAUGAAUAGCAUCUAAUAUCAAUUCCAAAAAUACUUUAAUUUUAAGGGUUUUGUUAUUGAGUGCCCUAGGCCCCGUUAAGGAGCAGAUAAUAAACUCUGUUAAUACUUAACCAGUAUGAAAUGGUGAGUUAUGGAUACAAUAAUUAGGUUCCUUUUCAUAAUAGUUUUUACUUUUGUUUCCUUAACUGGUUAACUCGAAAAAUGCUUAGCGAAUUCCUAAUUUUUAAAUAAAAAGGAAAAUAGUUGCUAAGCGGAUAUGGCGCUUUUCUUCAGAGUUCAGACACUAUUUCUGCAUAACAGAAAUCCAGGGUAGGUUUCGUCAAGAUCCCAAUCCAGUGAUCAUUACAGAUCAUGCGAGUCCCAUGAAGUUUAUUUCUGACAUGCUUGUUUGACACAAACAGCUGUUUUUUUUUUUUAUAAUUUGGAUUCCAGAAGUCCUAUAUAUCACUAUUUUGGAGGAUGCUUAGGUUUUGUUCCUAUAAGCUUUGUGAAUGGUGAAAUAGAUGCAGCAGAUAAUGAGUUUUAAAAUGAAAUAGUGGUGUUAAGAUAAGACGGAAAUAGAACCUUAUCCAUGUUUGGGACAAGUUCUUGAAGCUUUCUGAUGCGGUCACUGAUACGAGUCCUGCGAACCCUUUCGGCAAUACUCCUGGGAUGCGUAGCACAGCCACGCUUGGCGCGAACUCUACAGGGUGCCGCCGAGUCCUCAAACAUGAACAUGUCCAUUUUGAUGUGGGGGGGAGAAGCAUCACGUUCCUGAACACACACACAUGCAUUAUUAAGAGGAGCUGAUGAGGCAGAGAAGGAAUAAUAGAGGCAAGAAGGCAAAAGCAAUUGAAGGCACCUCGGGUGCGAUUGGAUUGGGGAUGGGCAUGGAGGUGGGAGGGUAAUCCUGUAUUUCAUAGUUUUGGCGUUGGCGUUGGCGUCGGGAAGGAGAGGGAGCUGCGAUGGUAGAAAGCAACUGGGUAAAGGUCAAGGUCUCUUUUUCAGCUUCUUCGCUUUCUUCUUGCUCUUCCUCCUCCUCUUCCUCUUCCUUCAAAAGGACUGAUUCUAACCAGGCGGCCGGAGUUGAGCGGAAGCUGGGAAGUCUGGCGGCGGAAUUGGGUUGCAUGGCCCUGAUUCUGAUGCGUGGGGGUGGGGGAAUGGGGGUGGAGCAGAGUACAGCAGAACAGAGCCUCUGUUCUCUCCUAUGGAUUAGUGGACUAGUGGACCUCACAUUCCAUCUCUCUCCUCCAAUCCACUUCACCCUGCUGUAAGGGGCCCACCUUUCACCUUCAUGUUUCACCUACACUCAAUCAAUUAUUUGUUUUUAUUAAUAAUUAGGAUAAAAAUAUUUUAAUUCAGAAAUGAACUGGAAGGUUUGGAAGAGGUCUAAAUCAAGAAAUAAAGAGAAAGGAAAGAAAUUUUGGGGGAUUUAUUAGGAAGAGUGGAAGAGAAAUUAAGGUGAAGGAGAAUCGGAGGAUGGGGAAGGGAUUGGAAGAAGCAGUGAGAGCAGAGGAGGAGGAGAGGGAUGAUGUGGUGGACGGUGCGGUUGACUUCAGAGGUGGAACCGCCGUGAGAUCCAAAACUGGGUCGUGGAGAUCCGCUGGGCUUAUCAUAGGUAAGGUAGUGAUUAAUUGAAGUUGAAGUUGAAUUAAGGAGGAAUUUAACAUGAACAUGUGUGAAAUCGGAAUCAGGUGUGGAAGUGGCGGAGAGAAUUGCGUAUUAUGGGAUUCAGGGGAACAUGAUAUCGUAUCUCACCGGGCCUCUCCGUCAGAGCACGGCCACCGCCGCAGAGAACAUCAAUGUCUGGUCGGGAACUGCUUCAUUGCUUCCUCUGCUUGGGGCUUUCCUCGCCGAUUCCUUUCUCGGCCGCUACCGCACUAUCAUACUCGCCUCCCUCGUCUACAUCCUGGUCACUCACUCACUCAUUCUUUCAAUUUCCUAUUUUAACAUCAAGGAUAUUUAAUAUAUUUCAAUAAUUUAUUAUGUUCAAUACUGAAUUUAACAGCUAAAAUAAUAAAGAAUCACGAAUAUCUAAUUUAAUACAAUAAUAAGUAAAUUACUUUUUACUCAUACUAAUCCCUAUCAUAAAUAGGAAAAAUAACUUUUAGUCCUUAGGUUGACUUGAUAUUAAUUUUUUUCUUUAAAAUAUAAGUAAGAAUAAUGAAAUUAUUGUCAUGUAGCCAGUUUCAUUAUUAUUGAACUGGUUUCAAUUUUGUUUGAUUUGUUUUUAAAUCUGACAAAAUACCAUUCACUAUUCACUAUUCAGAUGGUCUUUAAAGUAAAUAAAAAAUUGAAAAUAAAGUUAAAAAAAUUACGAAUGGUUAAAAACUACUCAUUGUCUAGAAGAAUUUAUAAAGUGUCCCAGCACUUUGGCAUAACUACUUUUUUUUUUUACGUGAUGAUAAGUUCAAAAUUAGCCGAGUCAAACGUCAUGUUAAACGUAUUUUUAGUUUUAUCUUCCCUUUCAGUAGUAAUAAUAAUUACACUUUUAAAUUUCUCUUAAAUUUUUUCAGGAUGUAUACUAUUUUUGUAAAACUGGUUUCAAUUAAUUUUACAAAGUAAUGUUAAUAUAUUUAAUUUAUUCAUUUUAUUGUUAAAAAACGUAAUUUAUUUCAACAUAUAAUCUUUAAUAAUACUAAAAUGUCUAUUUGUGCUUUGGUUUUUGACUUAAACAUGUUUAGUCACCUUCAAAACAUAAACAAUUUCAUGUGAUACUUUAAAAUUGCUAUUGCAAUUAAAUUCAGUGGUGUUUUGGUAAUAAGACCAGAAAUAAAAACGUGUCCUUCAUAAUAAAAUCGAACUGUAUGCACUUGGGUUGCUUCUGCUUCACUUUGAUGUUUGAACAGGAACUUCAAUUUUAGGGCUUUCUUAAUUGAAGGAGCCAAAUCAUUGAAAUUUAUUUCGCUCGUGAACGACUUAGUUAAAGAAAAGAUUGUGCAUUCUGUAUUAUUUAUUUUAAAUAAUAGGUUAUAGUUUGAUAUCAUGAUUUUAUUAUACUCAUUUCCAUUAUGUUUCUGCUUUUCUCAGCGAUCUUGAAUUGCUAGUGAAUGGAAAAUUAAGUAAAAGUUUGAUUGUGAAGGAUGUGUUCUUACAUUGUUUUGAUGUUAAUCCAUGGCUUAAUAUGAAUUACAGGGACUAGGACUGUUAACACUAUCAGCUAUGCUUCCUUCUCUCUCCAACUCUGAAUGCCAAGUCGACAAUGAACUCAAAUCAUGCUCUCCUCCUCGCUCGCAAGUGAUUUUGUUAUUCAUCUCCCUUUAUUUGGUCGCCAUUGGGCAAGGUGGACAUAAGCCCUGUGUUCAAGCUUUUGGAGCAGAUCAAUUCGAUGAACAACAUCCAAAGGAGCACAAAGAUAGAAGCUCGUUCUUUAAUUGGUGGUAUUUUACUAUGUGUGCUGGAUGCUUGGCGACCCUUUCGAUCUUGAACUAUAUACAAGACAACCUUAGUUGGGUUCUUGGAUUUGGAAUUCCUUGUAUUGCCAUGAUUCUUGCAUUACUUGUUUUCUUGUUAGGAACAAUGACCUACAGGUUUAACAUUCAGCAGCAAGACGAAAGACCCUUUCGCAGAAUUGGCCGUGUAUUUGUUGCUGCUAUAAGAAAUCGCAGAAUUGGCCGUGAUGGAAUACUUCCUAAACAAAGUUCUGAACAAUUCGAGUAAGAAUCACAAUGCUAAUUUCUGCUGGUUUUGUAGUCUUUUUUUUUGCAUUCUUAGUUCCUGUAGUGAUAUGGGCUGAGUCUGAAGUGGUAUAUUGAGGCAUCAUCUGAUCUCGUUAUAAAAAGUUGUUAUACCACAUUAAGAACAAAUCGUGAAAAUCCUGAGUGAUCAGCAUAGGAAUAAACAAGAGUAUUUAUGACAGAGAUAUAACUGCCAGUUAUAAGAACAGACAUAUAACUGCCAGUUAUAAGAACAGACAUAACGAAAGUAAAGGGAGAAGAAACAAGAUAUAUAGGCGGAUCACACACUAGUUACUAGUUAAGAAUAUACUUUUAGUUAUACUAAAUGUUUUAAGUCUAAGGUCGCUACGGAUUCUUGUCUGUAACAGUCCCAUUUGAGUUUUGUUUUUACGCUAUGUGCAACUUCCUUUACAGUGUUUUGCACAUUGACAGGUUCCUUAACAAAGCGUUGUUGGAGUUAAAGGACAAGGAUUCCAUGGAAGAGGAGAGUUGUAGCCCAAGUGAGGUAGAAGAAGCUAAAGCAGUACUAAGGCUGGUUCCCAUUUGGGCUUCAACUCUGAUUUAUGCAGUGGUGUUUGCUCAAGUUCCAACAUUCUUUACUAAGCAAGGGGUUACUCUGAAGAGAACAAUAUUACCCGGCAUUGACAUACCUCCUGCUUCUCUUCAAACGCUCAUGACUGUGGCCAUUGUUUUCUUCAGUCCCAUCUAUGACCGCUUAUUUGUGCCACUGGCAAGAGCUAUCACUGGAAAACCCUCAGGCAUCACAAUGCUGCAAAGAAUUGGAACUGGAAUUUUAAUAUCCGUGUCUAGUAUAGUAGUUGCAGCCCUUGUUGAGACCAAGAGAUUGAAAAUAGCUCAAGAGUCUGGUCUUGUUGAUGAUGCUGAAGCAAUUGUUCCGAUGAGUAUAUGGUGGUUGGUUCCCCAAUAUUUGUUGUUCGGAAUGUCUGAAGUUUUUACCAUGGUUGGUCUACAAGAAUUUUUCUAUGACCAGGUCCCAAAUGAACUGAGAAGCAUGGGUCUUGCUCUGUACUUGAGCAUAUUUGGUGCUGGGAACUUUAUAAGCAGCUUUCUGAUUUCUGUGAUAGAGGAAGUGACAGGGAAAGAAGAUAGUUGGUUUGCUAAUAAUCUGAACAAGGCGCAUCUUAAUUACUUUUACUGGCUACUUGCUGCUCUCAGUGUCAUGGGAUUGGCCUUCUUCACUUUCUUUAGUAAAUCUUACAUUUACAAUAACAAAGGUAUCAGACGACAAUAGACAAUUCUUCUUUUUCAUAGCUAUAUGGAGUGAAAAUUUUAUUUUGAUUGUCCAGGUAAACCCUCUUAUUCAGUGUACCUGUUGUUGUAUUUGGACUUUAAAAUAUAAACGACUUGUGUUUAAAAAAAUAUAUGGAGUUAGACAGUGAAUUAAGAGUAAUGGUCUAUUUUAUUGUAUGAAUUGAGCUAAUCUAGCCCUUAAGAAUGAGGGCCAAUGUGAAGGGUGUCAAACAGUCAUACCACCUAAAGCAUUCAGAACCUCAAAUCAUCCUUUAUUUAGACCAUGUUUGGUUGAGGUUGAGAGUGGAAAGGGAAAGAAAAGAACGAAAAGAUACUCGCGCAAGUUAGAUUCUUUGAAUUUAAGAAAGUUAAAAGUGAGUAAUGAAAAAUUUGUAAAUUAUAUGAUUGGCGUGACUAAAAAAGAUAUUAAAAUAAUUAUAUAACUUAGAAAUUUAUGAUAAUACUCUUAUCUUAAAGUUGAAAAUGUUAAUAUAUUUUUAUUAAAAACUAAAUGUUUAUAUGUAUCAAUGUUUAUAUGUUAUAGAAAAAUUAGUUUGAAGUUUGUAAUUAUAGAAAAAAAUUGAGACUUAAAAAUUUGGGUAGAACCAAUAUUAUUAAUUAAAGGUGGAUUAUAUUUGUUAUAUUUGGACCAUGGUUAUGGAAAAGAAAUGUGAAAAUAGGUGUACAUGAAAUAUAAUAAUUGUCUAACUUAUACUAGGAUUUAUCAUCGUAUUUUAGCCAUUCACAUGGUGUUCAAUCCAUGAAUUUAAACUCAUCAAUAAUUCUUAAACUCAAACAAUUGAAUAAAUUUUUUUAAUGUUUAGAGACAUAAUUACAAAAAAGGAAAAUCUAUGAUCAAUAAGUUAUACUUAAAAACUAGCUAUAUUCUUGUUCUAGUCAAAAGUACCUCAAUAUCAUUCUUAUGGUUUCUUGCUAAAACAUUUAGAAUUGAGUAAGUUUCUCCAUAUUGGUAGAUACAGUUAGUUGUUUUGUUAUUCUAAGGUCUUUAACCAAUAUCAUUUAUCUCUUAAAAGUUUGUAUUUUUCCCAAUCAAUUUCAAAUAUAGCAGUUCUUGUGAUUUUUCUCUAAAAUUGCGACUAGUUUUAUUGAAUCUCUUUAUUAGUGAUUAAUGACCAUAUAACUAACUCAUUAGAUUUAUGAACUCUGAAUCCCCUGAAUCAUUAAGCUUUCUGCGAAAAUCAAAGCUUUCUGAAAAAUGCACAGCAGAAGCUCACAUCUGAGAAUUGAGGUCAAGUUGGUUUAAGUAAAGAAUAUACAUGCAACAAGAUUCUGGCAUCCAACCAAUUGUUGAUUUAUUCACAAUGAAUAGCAUCUAAUAUCAAUUCCAAACAUACAUUAAUUUUAAGGGUUUUGUUAUUGAGUUUCCAAGGCCCCGUUAAGGGGCUGUUAAUAAACUGUUAGAUACUUAACAAGUAUGAAAUGGUGGGUUAUUGAUACAAUAAUUAGGUUCCUUUUCAUAAUAGUUUUUACUUUUGUUUCCUUAACUGGUUAUCUAGAAAAAUGCUUAGCGAAUUCCUAAUUUUAAAAUGAAAUAGUGGUGUUAAGAUAAGACGGAAAUAGAACCUUAUCCAUGUUUGGCACAAGUUCUUGAAGCUUUCUAACAGGUGGCCGGAGUUGAGCGGAAGCUGGGAAGUCUGGCGGCGGAAUUGGGUUGCACGGCCGUGAUCGUGAUGUGUGGGGGGUGGGGGAUCGGAGGUGGAGCAGAGUAGAGCAGAACAGAGCCUCUGUUCUCUCCUAAUGGAUUAGUGGACCUCACCUUCCAUCUCUCUCCUCCAAUCCACUUCACCCUAUUGCAAGGGUCCCACCUUUCACCUUCACCUUCACCUGAAUCAAUUAUUGGUUUUUAAUAAUGAUUAGGAUAAAAAUAAUUUUAUUCAGAAAUGAAUUGGAAAGUUUGGAAGAGGUGUAUAAGGGCUAAAGGGGAGAUAUUUAGGGGGAUUUAUUAGGAAGAGUGGAAAAAAAAGGGUGAGAAAUUAAGGUGAAGAGAAAUCGGAGGAUGGGGAAGGGAUUGGAAGAAGCAGUGGGAGCAGAGGAGGAGGAGGAGAGGGACGAUGUGGUGGAUGGUGCGGUGGACUUCAGAGGUGGAACCGCCGUGAGAUCCAAAUCUGGGUCGUGGAGAUCCGCGGGGCUUAUCAUAGGUAAGGUAGUGAUUAAUUGAAGUUGAAAUUGAAUUAAGGAGGAGUUUAACAUUAACAUGUGUGAAAUCGGAAUCAGGUGUGGAAGUGGCGGAGAGAAUUGCGUAUUAUGGGAUUCAGGGGAACAUGAUAUCGUAUCUCACCGGACCUCUCCGUCAGAGCACGGCCACCGCCGCAGAGAACAUCAAUGUCUGGUCGGGAACUGCUUCCUUGCUUCCUCUGCUUGGGGCUUUCCUCGCCGAUUCCUUUCUCGGCCGCUACCGCACUAUCAUACUCGCUUCCCUCGUCUACAUCCUGGUCACUCACUCACUCAUUCUUUCAAUUUCCUAUUUUAACAUCAAGGAUAUUUAAUAUAUUUCAAUAAUUUAUUAUGUUCAAUACUGAAUUUAGCAACUAAAAUAAUAAAAAAUCACGAAUAUCUAAUUUAAUACAGUAAUAAGUAAAUUACUUUUUAUUCAUACUAAUCCCUAUCAUAAAUAGGAAAAAUAACUUUUAGUCCUUAGGUUGACUUGAUAUUAAUAUUUUCUUUUAAAAUAUAAGUGAGAAUAAUGAAAUGAUUGUCGUGUAGCCAGUUUCGUUAUUAUUGAACUGGUUUCAAUUUUGUUAGAUUUUUUUUUAAAAUAUCAAUUUUGUAUGCUCAUCAAUUACAAAUACUAUUCACUAUUCAGACGGUCAAAUUUUUCUUCGAGUUAUAACUAUUUAACAAGUUUAUUGAUGGUAAUAAUUGCUAAGUAUUAGUUAGUGAAUCUAAUUAAAGUUUUUAACUAUCAUAAGAAUAAAUAUGUAUAUUUUUUUUUAAAUAGUUUCAUUUUUAUUAUAUAUUUUCUACUCUUGUUUGUUUUGAAUUUCAAGGUAACAUUUAACUUAACUAUAGUCUUGAAAACUUCUUUAAAAUUAAAGUAAAUAAAAAAUUGAAAAUAAAGUUAAAAUUACGAAUGGUUAAAAACUACUCAUUGUCUACAAGAAUUUAUAAAGUUUCCCAGCACUUUGGCAUAACUACUAUUUUUUUAUAUAUAUUUUAUAGCCGAGUCAAACGCCAUGUUAAACGUAUUUUCAGUGGUAAUAGUAGUAAUAAUAAUUACACUUUUACAUUUCUCUUAAAUUUUUUCAGGAUGUAUACUAUUUUUGAAAAACUGGUUUCAAUUAAUUUUACAAAGUAAUGCUAAUAUAUUUAAUUUAUUCAUUUGAUUGCUAAAAAAACGUAAUUUAUUUCAACAUAUAAUCUUUAAUAAUACUAAAAUGUCUUUUUGUACUUUGGUUUUUAACUUAAACAUGUUUAAUCACCCUCAAAACAUAAACAAUUUCACGUGAUGCUUUAAAAUUGCUAUUGCAAUUAAAUUCAGUGGUGUUUUGGUAAUAAGACCAGAAAAAAAAUGUGUCGUUCAUAAUAAGAUGAUGUUAUUAUCAUCGAACUGUUUGCACUUGGGUUGCUUCUGCUUCACUUCGAUGUUUGAACAGGAACUUCAAUUUUAGGGCUUUCUUAAUUGAAGGCGCCAAAUCAUUGAAAUUUAUUUCGCUCAUGAACGACUUAGUUAAAGAAAAGAUUGUGCAUUCUGUAUUAUUUAUUUUAAAUAAUAGGUUAUAGUUUGAUAUGAUGAUUUGAUUAUACUCAUUUCCAUUAUGUUUCUGUUUUUCUCAGCGAUCUUGAAUUGCUAGUGAAUGGAAAAUUAAGUAAAAGUUUGAUACGAUGAUUUAAUUUGACACAUGUGUUCUUACAUUGUUUUGAUGUUAAUCCAUGGCUUAAUAUGAAUCACAGGGUCUAGGACUGUUAACGUUAUCAGCUAUGCUUCCUUCUCUCUCCAACUCUGAAUGCCAAGUCGACGAUGAACUCAAAUCAUGCUCUCCUCCUCGCUCGCAAGUGAUUUUGUUUUUCAUCUCCCUUUAUUUGGUCGCCAUUGGGCAAGGUGGACAUAAGCCCUGUGUUCAAGCUUUUGGAGCAGAUCAAUUCGAUGAACAACAUCCAAAGGAGCACAAAGAUAGAAGCUCGUUCUUUAAUUGGUGGUAUUUUACUAUGUGUCUUGGAUGCAUGGCAACUCUUUCGGUCUUGAACUAUAUACAAGACAACCUUAGUUGGGUUCUUGGAUUUGGAAUUCCUUGUAUUGCCAUGAUUCUUGCAUUACUUGUUUUCUUGUUAGGAACAAUGACCUACAGGUUUAACAUUCAGCAGCAAGACAAAAGACCCUUUCGCAGAAUUGGCCGUGUAUUUGUUGCUGCUAUAAGAAAUCGCAGAAUUGGCCGUGAUGGAAUACUUGCUCAUCAAAGUUCUGAACAAUUCGAGUAAGAAUCACAAUGCUAAUUUCUGCUGGUUUUGGAGUCUUAUUCUUAGUCCCAUUUGAGUUUUGUUUUUACGCUAUGUGCAACUUCCUUUACAGUGUUUUGCACAUUGACAGGUUUCUGAACAAAGCGUUGUUGGAGCUAAAGGACGAGGAUUCCAUGGAAGAGGAGAGUUGUAGCCCAAGUGAGGUAGAAGAAGCUAAAGCAGUACUAAGGCUGGUUCCCAUUUGGGCUUCAACUCUGAUUUAUGCAGUGGUGUUUGCUCAAGUUCCAACAUUCUUUACUAAGCAAGGGGUUACUCUGGAGAGAACAAUAUUACCCGGCAUUGACAUACCUCCUGCUUCUCUUCAAACGCUCAUCACUGUGGCCAUUGUUCUCUUCAGUCUCAUCUAUGACCGCUUAUUUGUGCCACUGGCAAGAGCUAUCACUGGCAAACCCUCAGGCAUCACAAUGCUGCAAAGAAUUGGAACUGGAAUUUUAAUAUCCGUGUUUAGUAUAGUACUUGCAGCACUUGUUGAGACCAAGAGAUUGAAAAUAGCUAAAGAGUCUGGUGUUGUUGAUGAAGCUGAU